rnacentral:rRNA from 1 species
UAGAGUUUGAUCCUCGGCUACGAGGACGAACGGCUGGCGGCGCGCCUAACACAUGCAAGUCGAACGGAGCUUAAGAGCUUGCUUUUUAAGCUUAGUGGCGAACGGGUGAGUAACGCGUGAGUAACCUGCCCUGGAGUGGGGGACAACAGUUGGAAACGACUGCUAAUACCGCAUAAGCCCACGGAUCCGCAUGGAUCUGCGGGAAAAGGAUUUAUUCGCUUCAGGAUGGACUCGCGUCCAAUUAGCUAGUUGGUGAGGUAACGGCCCACCAAGGCGACGAUUGGUAGCCGGACUGAGAGGUUGAACGGCCACAUUGGGACUGAGACACGGCCCAGACUCCUACGGGAGGCAGCAGUGGGGGAUAUUGCACAAUGGGGGAAACCCUGAUGCAGCGACGCCGCGUGGAGGAAGAAGGUUUUCGGAUUGUAAACUCCUGUCGUUAGGGACGAUAAUGACGGUACCUAACAAGAAAGCACCGGCUAACUACGUG